rnacentral:rRNA from 1 species
UACGUAGGGACCAAGCGUUGUUCGGAUUUACUGGGCGUAAAGGGCGCGUAGGCGGCGUGACAAGUCACUUGUGAAAUCUCUGGGCUUAACCCAGAACGGCCAAGUGAAACUGUUGUGCUAGAGUGCAGAAGGGGCAAUCGGAAUUCUCGGUGUAGCGGUGAAAUGCGUAGAUAUCGAGAGGGAACACCAGAGGUGAAGACGGGUUGCUGGGGCUGACACUGACGCUGAGGCG